AACGAACGCUGGCGGCAGGCCUAACACAUGCAAGUCGAACGCCCUGGCAACAGGGAGUGGCAGACGGGUGAGUAACGCGUGGGAACGUGCCCUUCGGUUCGGAAUAACUCAGGGAAACUUGAGCUAAUACCGGAUACGUGCGAGAGCAGAAAGAUUUAUCGCCGAAGGAUCGGCCCGCGCCCGAUUAGCUAGUUGGUGAGGUAACGGCUCACCAAGGCGACGAUCGGUAGCUGGUCUGCGAGGAUUAGCAGCCACACUGGGACUGAGACACGGCGCAGACUCCUACGGGAGGAAGCCGUGGGGAAUAUUGGACAAUGGGCGCAAGCCUGAUCCAGCCAUGCCGCGUGAGUGAUGAAGGCCCUAGGGUUGUAAAGCUCCUUCGCCAGGGACGAUAAUGACGGUACCUGGAUAAGAAGCCCCGGCUAACUUCGUGCCAGCCGCCGCCGUAA
rnacentral:rRNA from 1 species